GUAGGUGGCAAGCGUUGUCCGGAAUUAUUGGGCGUAAAGCGCGCGCAGGUGGUUCUUUAAGUCUGAUGUGAAAGCCCCCGGCUCAACCGGGGAGGGUCAUUGGAAACUGGGGAACUUGAGUGCAGGAGAGGAAAGUGGAAUUCCACGUGUAGCGGUGGAAUGCGUAGAUAUGUGGAGGAACACCAGUGGCGAAGGCGACUUUCUGGCCUGUAACUGACACUGAGGCGCGAAAGCGUGGGGAGCAAACAGGGAUUAGAUACCCUGGUAGUCCACGCCGUAAACGAUGAGUGCUAAGUGUUGGGGGGGUUUCCCGCCCCUCAGUGCUGCAGCUAACGCAUUAAGCACUCCGCCUGGGGAUACGGUCGCAAGACUG
rnacentral:rRNA from 1 species